rnacentral:rRNA from 1 species
UAGGGAAUCUUCCACAAUGGACGCAAGUCUGAUGGAGCAACGCCGCGUGAGUGAAGAAGGUCUUCGGAUCGUAAAACUCUGUUGUUAGAGAAGAACACGAGUGAGAGUAACUGUUCAUUCGAUGACGGUAUCUAACCAGCAAGUCACGGCUAACUACGUGCCG